CCUACGGGAGGCAGCAGUGAGGAAUAUUGGUCAAUGGACGGAAGUCUGAACCAGCCAUGCCGCGUGCAGGAAGACGGCUCUAUGAGUUGUAAACUGCUUUUAUACAGGAGUAAACCUGAAGACGUGUAUUCAGCUGAAAGUACUUUACGAAUAAGGAUCGGCUAACUCAGUGCCAGCAGCCGCGGUAAUACGGAGGAUCCAAGCGUUAUCCGGAUUUAUUGGGUUUAAAGGGUGCGUAGGCGGAUUGAUAAGUUAGAGGUGAAAGGUCGGAGCUUAACCCGGGAACUGCCUCUAAUACUGUUGAUCUAGAGAGUAGAUGAGGUAGGCGGAAUGUAUGGUGUAGCGGUGAAAUGCUUAGAGAUCAUAAAGAACACCGAUUGCGAAGGCAGCUUACCAAUCUAUAUCUGACGUUGAGGCACGAAAGCGUGGGGAGCAAACAGGAUUAGAUACCCGAGUAGUC
rnacentral:rRNA from 1 species